CACGUAGGGCGCAAGCGUUGUCCGGAAUUAUUGGGCGUAAAGAGCUCGUAGGCGGUUUGUCGCGUCUGCUGUGAAAACUGGAGGCUCAACCUCCAGCCUGCAGUGGGUACGGGCAAACUAGAGUGCGGUAGGGGGAGAUUGGAAUUCCUGGUGUAGCGGUGGAAUGCGCAGAUAUCAGGAGGAACACCGAUGGCGAAGGCAGAUCUCUGGGCCGUAACUGACGCUGAGGAGCGAAAGCGUGGGGAGCGAACAGG
rnacentral:rRNA from 1 species